CCUAGGGAGGCAGCAGUGAGGAAUAUUGGUCAAUGGGCGCGAGCCUGAACCAGCCAAGUAGCGUUAAGGAUGACUGCCCUACGGGUUGUAAACUUCUUUUAUUAAGGAAUAAAGUGAGGCACGUGUGCCUUUUUGUAUGUACUUUAUGAAUAAGGAUCGGCUAACUCCGUGCCAGCCGCCGCGGUAAUACGGAGGAUCCGAGCGUUAUCCGGAUUUAUUGGGUUUAAAGGGAGCGUAGAUGGGUUGUUAAGUCAGUUGUUAAAGUUUGCGGCUCAACCGUAAAAUUGCAAUUGAUACUGGCAGCCUUGAGUACAGGUGAGGUAGGCGGAAUGCGUGGUGUAGCGGUGAAAUGCUUAGAUAUCACGAAGAACUCCGAUUGCGAAGGCAGCUUACUAAACUGCCACUGACAUUGAUGCUCGAAAGUGUGGGUAUCAAACAGGAUUAGAUACCCGGGUAGUC
rnacentral:rRNA from 1 species